rnacentral:tRNA from 1 species
CUCUGAGAAGCUAAACAUGGACGUAGCAUUAGCCUUUUAAGCUAAAAAAUGGUGGCUUCCUACCACCCUUAGUGA